GCAUAGCCUUGGAGGCAAAAGGCCACCAGGUUGCUUUGGUUUUUGGCAUUACCAAUGAUUGCAAGAUUGAGCAAAGGAGAGAUCUGGUGAUCAUUCUUGCUUCAUUCAGUAGCCUUGAGAUCACUGGGAGAUCUGAAUCUUCAGAGGUAAGAGAGACACACUGACAUUUGGCAUCCAUCUGCUUCAAAUCUUUAUAGCACUUCUUGAUGGUCUUCUGUGUCUCCUUUCUUGAGCAAAUGUAGGCGUGCACUUUUUCUCCGGUAGAACUGUCACCUCUUCUUCGAAGCGCAAGCUGAAGAUCUUGCGCAUGCUCUUUUGAUGUAACGACUGCAUCCUUCAUGGUGCCACAGAGGUCCAACAACCUCAUUGAUCCAUCCACAUCCUCCUC
rnacentral:lncRNA from 1 species